UUUCUGUCACAGAAGCUGAUGAAGACUGUUGAAAAGGAAAAUUACAUGGAAAAGCAUACUUAGAAAUUUCUGUUCCCAGCAGUGAUACUCUUUGUGUUAAUAAGAAAUGUGUAUUUGAAGAUGAUGCAGCACUAUAGAUAUGGAAGAAAACAAGUUUUAUGUGAAUGGAGCCCAUUAAAAUGUCAUUUGAAAGACACUUCAGUGGGACAAGCCAGGGGUGGUAAUUAAUAGCUUUACUGUGAAAUGUGUCAUCUUGUACAAGCUCUGCCAUCAAUCUGAAGACUGUUACCAAAUAAAUUUUCCUUUAACAGACCAAAAGCAAUGGAAUCUGAAAGUGGAAAGUGGGGAGAGACA